GACAUGUAUUCUACUAAACCUUUAUUUUUAUAAUAUUUAGUCUAAAAUAACAUAGUUUACAGUACAUAUUACUACUUGAACAUUCGAUAAAACUAAUAGAUGCCGUUUAUGGUUACUAAAUCAUUUACAGUAUUUGUAUUGUUGAAUGCAGAUGAAAGAAUUUCGGAUGGCCAUAAAGACAAAACCUUAUCUUGACUAAUAGUAAAGACGAAUUUGCUAGAUUAUUUUUUUAUUGCAUUAUUAUAUCAAACAACUUGUAAACUUUUUAAUUCAAGUAAUUAGUAAAAACAACCUAGACACAAGGACGGAUUAAGAUGUACCGAAAUUCUUACAAUAGGAUUCCUUUCUUGAAGAUACAGUGCGUCAUAAUAAAAAUAACGUAUACCAUCACAAAAAAAAAACUUUCAACAUGAAUAAAAAUAAUAGACAGAAGACAUACAAUCCAAAAGAGUUAAACAUUUUGUUUUAAUUACAUAAAUAUAUAUAUGAGAAAUUCGCAAAGUCAAUAUCAACAGUAUAAACAUGCUUAUUACAUAUAAAAUGAUCAACAAGGCGUCAAUUUAUAGAACCAAAUUAAUUGUGCACUGAUAAUUAGGUACAUUAUUAUAAAAAACAAUUAUUAAAAAAAUUACUAACCAAAAUAUCCCAGCAAUAAAAAUAUAUCAUUAUAAAAAAUAAAUUCUUAAAAACAAGUCACAAAUGUAAUAUAAACCUCUAAGUAUAUUCAAAAUAUAUGUAUUUUUAAUCUAAAAACAUCAUAAAAAGCG
rnacentral:misc_RNA from 1 species